UUUAGAAUGCCCAUCUCAAGCACCGACCUGAUAGAAAGGGCAAUAAAGGCCAGAAAACAAAAACAAAAAAAUAAGUAAAUGAUCCAUUGAAGCAAAAAAGACCUUUAGUAGCAUUCUUUCUGUUCAUAUCAGAUGUUAAGAAGAAGGGGACGACUGGAAACAUAAUCAAGGCCGUGCAUUGCACUGGAUGACAGAAAAACUAACAAGUACGUCUCUAAGAAUCCUGAAAUUCGGGACAUGCUGUCUUCAGAAUCCAGUUCGCCAACCGUUACUACGUGAACCACCUAGAGACUUGGGAGAAUUAUAUGAAGGGGACGACGCCAGAUCAAAUUUGUCACAGACACAUUUGAAAGUAUAAUGCGGCAGAUGCGACCAGCCAUGGAUCUUUGAAUGGAAUAGAGAUUUGAGACCUUUCUGACAAUUCCGAGAAAUGAGAGACAUGCAGGGAGACGCAAAAAACAAUGGUCGAUGGUGAUGGUUACGAGAGAUGCAAAGAUAAUGGUGAAUGGAAUUGAUCGAGGGUGCAAGUGGAAUUGGUUUGUAGACGUAAAAAUGGACUGAAAAGACAUGUAUAUAGUGUGUUCGCCUGCAAGUGCAACGAAUCUAUUAGAGAUUUUCUACAAAAUCCAUAAUCAUAGUUAGUUUUUGGGUGUUGUGGCCUGUAUGUAAUUUAAGUAAAACGUUUUUCUGUGUUCAUACGUUCAGUUGAUUGUAUUCCUAAAGAUUUU